AUUUACUCUGCCAUUUUUUAGAGAAAGAAAAUAACACGCCCCCCCCAAAAUCUCUACUAGGAUUUCAACCCGAAGCGCCGCAAUUGGAGGGUCAUCGGCUCUUCUAUACCAUCGCCUCUGGCGCCGAUCCACGGCGAACCCAGAUAUCUCGGAGGCGUGGGAGCGUGGCAUGAAGUAGAGCACGAUUCGGAAGCUUGGCGCGCGUCGUACUCUGCUUGGACUCGAAGCUUGCGGCGCCGAUUUCCUUCUGCUGCUAGGGUGUUGGGUUGGCUCUAUGUUUUGUGUAUUGGGUUGAGAGAUGUGGGUUAGGUUUUGGGUAAUCUGUUAGGCUUUGGGUUUGUGUUGGGUUUUAAUAGGUGUUUUUAUAUUUAGGUUUGUUUUAAAUUUGGUCCUACAGCAUCUUUAUCACUUUAUUUAAAAAAUUAACAAAUAAAUCACCAUAUAAUAGUUCAUCCA